rnacentral:rRNA from 1 species
AGUGAACGCUGGCGGUAGGCCUAACACAUGCGAGUCGAACGGCAGCACAGUAAGAGCUUGCUCUUACGGGUGGCGAGUGGCGGACGGGUGAGGAAUACAUCGGAAUCUACUUUUUCGUGGGGGAUAACGUAGGGAAACUUACGCUAAUACCGCAUACGACCUACGGGUGAAAGCAGGGGAUCUUCGGACCUUGCGCGAUUGAAUGAGCCGAUGUCGGAUUAGCUAGUUGGCGGGGUAAAGGCCCACCAAGGCGACGAUCCGUAGCUGGUCUGAGAGGAUGAUCAGCCACACUGGAACUGAGACACGGUCCAGACUCCUACGGGAGGCAGCAGUGGGGAAUAUUGGACAAUGGGCGCAAGCCUGAUCCAGCCAUACCGCGUGGGUGAAGAAGGCCUUCGGGUUGUAAAGCCCUUUUGUUGGGAAAGAAAAGCAGCAGGUUAAGACCCCGCUGUUCGGACGGUACCCAAAGAAUAAGCACCGGCUAACUUCGG